GUUUAUAUAGUUUUAAAAACAUUAGAUUGUGGAUCUAAAGAUAGGAGUUAAAAUCUCCUUAUAAACC
rnacentral:tRNA from 1 species